rnacentral:misc_RNA from 1 species
GAUGAAGAACGUAGCGAAAUGCGAUAAGUAAUGCGAAUUGCAGAAUUCCAGUGAGUCAUCGAAUCUUUGAACGCACAUUGCGCCCUUUGGUAUUCCGAAGGGCAUGCCUGUUCGAGCGUCAUUAUCACCCCUCAAGCCCUCGGCUUGGUGUUGGACGGUUUGGUGGAGGCCCCCUCGGGGGCUCCUGCCCCUCCCAAAGACAAUGACGGCGGCCUCGUUGGACCCCCGGUACACUGAGUUCUUCACGGGACACGUAUCGGACACAUGGGUUUACGGGACACGGUCUGCCUCCCCUCAGGGAGAAUCUUUCUAAGGUUGACCUCGGAUCAGGUAGGGAUACCCGCUGAACUUAAGCAUAUCAUAAGCGGAGGA